rnacentral:lncRNA from 1 species
AUUGAGAGCUACACUGGUUCGAUCUUAGAAGAGCAGUGCAAUUGGAUCCUUGAGGAAUCAAAGGGCUUGACACCCAAGAAAGAAAAAAAGAGCUUGAGAAACUUGAGUACCAUACAUUGAACAGGAAUUAAUUGGCCAACAUUUGCAUAACAUGCAUUGAAAUUCAUAUGCACAUUUGCAUAGCAUACACUACUUUCAGGAAAGUAUAGUGUACAAAUUCAAGAAGCAGGGGUGUUCCAACAUCCCAUAUGGAGAAGACAAAUAUGAAGAUAUUUUGCAAGAUGGAAAAGAAACUUGUUAGGUAAGUUCCUAAUCCUUGAAAUAGGAUGUCUUUUGGUAUCAGGGUUGAUUUAUAAGACCUUUGGGCAUGAUCUCCUGAAAUCCCCUCAAACACAACUUUCAACUCCUUCGGACAUGAUUGUCUAGGAGUAUUUACUUUUCAAAGUUCGUUGCCUCUGUUUAGAGGAGCAAUUUACUUUCCAAAGUCGUGGUACCUCUGUUUAGAGGAGCAAUUUACUUUUCAAAGUUCGUUGCCUCUGUUUAGAGGAGCAAUUUACUUUUCAAAGUCGUGGUGCCUCUGUUUAGAGGAGCAAUUUACUUUUCAAAGUCGUGGUGCCUCUGUU